UACGUAGGGUGCGAGCGUUAAUCGGAAUUACUGGGCGUAAAGCGUGCGCAGGCGGUUCGUUGUGUCGGUGGUGAAAGCCCCGGGCUUAACCUGGGAAUGGCCAUGGAAACUGGCGAACUGGAGUGUGGCAGAGGGGGGUGGAAUUCCGCGUGUAGCAGUGAAAUGCGUAGAGAUGUGGAGGAACACCGAUGGCGAAGGCAGCCCCCUGGGUCAAGACUGACGCUCAUGCACGAAAGCGUGGGGAGCAAACAGG
rnacentral:rRNA from 1 species